UACGGAAGGCAGCAGUGGGGAAUAUUGCACAAUGGGCGCAAGCCUGAUGCAGCCAUGCCGCGUGUAUGAAAAAGGCCUUCGGGUUGUAAAGUACUUUCAGUCGUGAGGAAGGUGUUAAGGUUAAUAACCUUAGCAAUUGACGUUAGCGACAGAAGAAGCACCGGCUAACUCCGUGCCAGCAGCCGCGGUAAUACGGAGGGUGCGAGCGUUAAUCGGAAUUACUGGGCGUAAAGGGCACGCAGGCGGUUAAUUAAGUUGGAUGUGAAAUCCCCGGGCUUAACCUGGGAAUGGCAUUCAAGACUGGUUAGCUAGAGUCUUGUAGAGGGGGUAGAAUUCCAUGUGUAGCGGUGAAAUGCGUAGAGAUGUGGAGGAAUACCGGUGGCGAAGGCGGCCCCGUGGACAAAGACUGACGCUCAUGUGCGAAAGCGUGGGGAGCAAACAGGGAUUAGAUACC
rnacentral:rRNA from 1 species